rfam:Myotis brandtii contig325411, whole genome shotgun sequence.
AGGCCAGGAGAGAGAGGCAGGGUCUGAUCCAUAGCCUCCGUGGCAGCUGUUGAUCAGCCUUUGCCUCUCUCUUUCUCUCCU